ACCAAAGUGGCGGAAUUGGCAGACGCGCUAGGUUCAGGUCCUAGUCCUCGAUAAGAGGGUGGGGGUUCGAAUCCCCCCUUUGGUACCA
rnacentral:tRNA from 1 species